rnacentral:rRNA from 1 species
GGUCAAGUGAAGAAGCGCAUACGGUGGAUGCCUUGGCAGUCAGAGGCGAUGAAAGACGUGGUAGCCUGCGAAAAGCUUCGGGGAGUCGGCAAACAGACUGUGAUCCGGAGAUGUCUGAAUGGGGGAACCCAGCUGUCAUAAGACAGUUACCUUACACUGAAUACAUAGGUGUACGGAGCGAACCAGGGGAACUGAAACAUCUAAGUACCCUGAGGAAAAGAAAUCAACCGAGAUUCCCUUAGUAGUGGCGAGCGAACGGGGACCAGCCCUUAAGUUGGAUUGAGAUUAGCGGAACGCUCUGGAAAGGGCGGCCAUAGUGGGUGAUAGCCCUGUACGCGAAAGUCUCUUUGCAAUGAAAUCGAGUAGGACGGGGCACGAGAAACCUUGUCUGAAUAUGGGGGGACCAUCCUCCAAGGCUAAAUACUACUGACUGACCGAUAGUGAACCAGUACCGUGAGGGAAAGGCGAAAAGAACCGCGGAGAGCGGAGUGAAAUAGAUCCUGAAACCGUAUGCGUACAAGCAGUGGGAGCCCACGUUGUUGGGUGACUGCGUACCUUUUGUAUAAUGGGUCAGCGACUUAUUUUCAGUGGCAAGCUUAACCGAAUAGGGGAGGCGUAGCGAAAGCGAGUCUUAAUAGGGCGUCUAGUCGCUGGGAAUAGACCCGAAACCGGGCGAUCUAUCCAUGGGCAGGUUGAAGGUUAGGUAACACUGACUGGAGGACCGAACCGACUACCGUUGAAAAGUUAGCGGAUGACCUGUGGAUCGGAGUGAAAGGCUAAUCAAGCUCGGAGAUAGCUGGUUCUCCUCGAAAGCUAUUUAGGUAGCGCCUCAUGUAUCACUGUAGGGGGUAGAGCACUGUUUCGGCUAGGGGGUCAUCCCGACUUACCAAACCGAUGCAAACUCCGAAUACCUACAAGUGCCGAGCAUGGGAGACACACGGCGGGUGCUAACGUCCGUCGUGAAAAGGGAAACAACCCAGACCGUCAGCUAAGGUCCCAAAGUCAUGGUUAAGUGGGAAACGAUGUGGGAAGGCUUAGACAGCUAGGAGGUUGGCUUAGAAGCAGCCACCCUUUAAAGAAAGCGUAAUAGCUCACUAGUCGAGUCGGCCUGCGCGGAAGAUGUAACGGGGCUCAAACCAUGCACCGAAGCUACGGGUAUCACCUCUGGUGAUGCGGUAGAGGAGCGUUCUGUAAGCCUGUGAAGGUGAGUUGAGAAGCUUGCUGGAGGUAUCAGAAGUGCGAAUGCUGACAUGAGUAACGACAAUGGGUGUGAAAAACACCCACGCCGAAAGACCAAGGUUUCCUGCGCAACGUUAAUCGACGCAGGGUUAGUCGGUCCCUAAGGCGAGGCUGAAAAGCGUAGUCGAUGGAAAACAGGUUAAUAUUCCUGUACUUCUGGUUAUUGCGAUGGAGGGACGGAGAAGGCUAGGCCAGCCUGGCGUUGGUUGUCCAGGUUUAAGGUGGUAGGCUGAGNNNNNNNNNNNNNNNNNNNNNNNNNNNNNNNNNNNNNNNNNNNNNNNNNNNNNNNNNNNNNNNNNNNNNNNNNNNNNNNNNNNNNNNNNNNNNNNNGUUUCAAGGCCGAGAGCUGAUGACGAGUGUUCCUUUGGAACACGAAGUGGUUGAUGCCAUGCUUCCAAGAAAAGCUUCUAAGCUUCAGGUAACCAGGAACCGUACCCCAAACCGACACAGGUGGUUGGGUAGAGAAUACCAAGGCGCUUGAGAGAACUCGGGUGAAGGAACUAGGCAAAAUGGCACCGUAACUUCGGGAGAAGGUGCGCCGGUGAGGGUGAAGCAUUUACUGCGUAAGCCCACGCCGGUCGAAGAUACCAGGCCGCUGCGACUGUUUAUUAAAAACACAGCACUCUGCAAACACGAAAGUGGACGUAUAGGGUGUGACGCCUGCCCGGUGCCGGAAGGUUAAUUGAUGGGGUUAGCGCAAGCGAAGCUCUUGAUCGAAGCCCCGGUAAACGGCGGCCGUAACUAUAACGGUCCUAAGGUAGCGAAAUUCCUUGUCGGGUAAGUUCCGACCUGCACGAAUGGCGUAACGAUGGCGGCGCUGUCUCCACCCGAGACUCAGUGAAAUUGAAAUCGCUGUGAAGAUGCAGUGUAUCCGCGGCUAGACGGAAAGACCCCGUGAACCUUUACUAUAGCUUUGCACUGGACUUUGAAUUUGCUUGUGUAGGAUAGGUGGGAGGCUUUGAAGCGUGGACGCCAGUCUGCGUGGAGCCAACCUUGAAAUACCACCCUGGCAACUUUGAGGUUCUAACUCAGGUCCGUUAUCCGGAUCGAGGACAGUGUAUGGUGGGUAGUUUGACUGGGGCGGUCUCCUCCUAAAGAGUAACGGAGGAGUACGAAGGUGCGCUCAGACCGGUCGGAAAUCGGUCGUAGAGUAUAAAGGCAAAAGCGCGCUUGACUGCGAGACAGACACGUCGAGCAGGUACGAAAGUAGGUCUUAGUGAUCCGGUGGUUCUGUAUGGAAGGGCCAUCGCUCAACGGAUAAAAGGUACUCCGGGGAUAACAGGCUGAUACCGCCCAAGAGUUCAUAUCGACGGCGGUGUUUGGCACCUCGAUGUCGGCUCAUCACAUCCUGGGGCUGAAGCCGGUCCCAAGGGUAUGGCUGUUCGCCAUUUAAAGUGGUACGCGAGCUGGGUUUAGAACGUCGUGAGACAGUUCGGUCCCUAUCUGCCGUGGACGUUUGAGAUUUGAGAGGGGCUGCUCCUAGUACGAGAGGACCGGAGUGGACGAACCUCUGGUGUUCCGGUUGUCACGCCAGUGGCAUUGCCGGGUAGCUAUGUUCGGAAAAGAUAACCGCUGAAAGCAUCUAAGCGGGAAACUUGCCUCAAGAUGAGAUCUCACUGGAACCUUGAGUUCCCUGAAGGGCCGUCGAAGACUACGACGUUGAUAGGUUGGGUGUGUAAGCGCUGUGAGGCGUUGAGCUAACCAAUACUAAUUGCCCGUGAGGCUUGACCAU